GGGUCCAUGCAGUACUGGGAGUUUAAACUGAAUCCCUUGUAUAAAGACUGGACACCCCUGACCACCUGACUAUAUAGUUGGGGGUCCCAUUGUGGAAAAGGCAGGGGAGGUCCAAGUUUCCAAAUAUAAUUGAGUCCUUCUUUCCUUCAGGUCCUACUUUUCCCCCUGGACAUAACGUGUAUGGGUGUAUGCUUUCCAAAGAAUCGAGACUGACAAAAUUUACAUUUUAGCUUUGUAACUGAAGCCUGUAUUUGCAAGCAUUAGGAAAAUUUGUCUCUGUGUGGGCCAGAGCCUCAGCUAUUUCUGUUACUCCAACCCUGCUAAAUAUCUUUUGUUCUCAACACAUUUGGUAGAAUUCAUGUCUCAUGCUGCUGCUGAAAACCCAAUGGGGGAAAAGAACCUCUGAAUUAAGCUUAUUAGUUUUUAACUGCUGCAGAACCACCACCACAAAGUGGCUUAAAAUGCAAAUUUAUUAUCCUUUAGUUCUGGAAGUCAGAAAAUCCAAAAUGGUGAUGCUGAACUUUUAUCUUUUGCUUAUCCCUAAAACUCUUUUAUCUUUCCUUCAAAUUUCCUUCUUAGUUGUAGUUUUUGGUUGUGCUAGGUCGUCACUGCUGCCUGUGGGACUUCUCUGGUUGUACUGAGUGGGGGCUACUCUUCAUUGUGGGGCGCAGGUUUCUUACUGCAGUGUGCUGACUUAGCUGCUUACAGCACGUGGAACCUUCCUGGACCAGAGACUGAACCUGUGUCCCUUGCGUUGGCAGGCGGGUUCUUACCACUGGACAACCAGAAGUCCCUCUCCUUCAAAUUUAAAUGAUCCCUCGCUGGGUAUUCCUGAUUGUAGGAUUUUUCAUCAGCCAGCAGUGAAAGGACGGAAUCCUAACCACUGUUGACUUGUGGGUCCCACGGCCUGUGGGAUCCUAGUUCCCUGACCAAGGAUAAAACCCACGUCCCCUGCAUUGGAAGAUGGAUUUUCAAUUACUGGACCCCCAGGAAAGUCCCUGUACUGUUUUACAAUAAAAGCAGCUACUAUUUCACAAGUGAUUGUGCCAAACGCUCUGAAAACAGCAUUUACUACCUACAGUAUUAGAAGACACUUUUAUAGCUGAGGACACAGCUUGCUUUCUAUUGCAUAUUCCUCUCAUGUAUGUAAAAGUUACCUCUAGCUCCUUUUGGCCCUUGGCCAGAACCACCACUGUCCUACUUUCACAGCUAUUAAGUACAAACUGAUGUAGUUCAAGCUCUCUUCAGCAACGUUCUCAGACUCCAAAAUGAUUCAACUUCCUCUUAAAAACCAAACACCCCUUCUUUUCUCCUGACCUUUAAGGCUACCCCCCACACAAAGCACCACCUUAGUGAAAUGCCAAUGAACAGAACUUAGAAAAUCGACAAAUGUUAACAGUGGGUGACAGUUUGAAAGGAACUGGAUAUUUAAUAGGCUCUAGUUACCUCCCACAAAUUACUGAUCAUAAAGGGAAAAAGUGACUUUAUAUAAGUGACUCGGGUUAUUAUUACAAGGUACCACUAGAUAUACCGAAGACAAUCUCAUUCUUGUGAUAUUUCUGCCAAAA
ensembl:lncRNA